GGAGUUAGCCGGUGCUUCUUCUGCGAGUAACGUCACAGAUGUAAGGUAUUAACUUACACCCUUUCCUCCUCGCUGAAAGUGCUUUACAACCCGAAGGCCUUCUUCACACACGCGGCAUGGCUGCAUCAGGGUUUCCCCCAUUGUGCAAUAUUCCCCACUGCUGCCUCCCGUAGGAGUCUGGGCCGUGUCUCAGUCCCAGUGUGGCUGAUCAUCCUCUCAGACCAGCUAGGGAUCGUCGCCUAGGUGAGCCUUUACCUCACCUACUAGCUAAUCCCACCUGGGCUUAUCCAUCAGCGCAAGGCCCGAAGGUCCCCUGCUUUCCCCCGUAGGGCGUAUGCGGUAUUAGCAGUCGUUUCCAACUGUUAUCCCCCACAAAUGGGCAAAUUCCCAGGCAUUACUCACCCGUCCGCCGCUCGUCAUCUUCAAAAGCAAGCUUUUGAAAUGUUACCGCUCGACUUGCAUGUGUUAGGCCUGCCGCCAGCGUUCAAUCUGAGCCAGGAUCAAACUCUGA
rnacentral:rRNA from 1 species